CCAAAGGCUAGUUGGUAGAGUGGAUAAAACUCAGAAGUCACUGUAAAAUGAAACCGCCACUCUCUUGCGCCUCUGCCCAAUCCACGCUCUUUCAACACCAAAAUCUCACUCUCAAACCUUUGCCCUACCCCAAGCCUGCCAUGGCAAUUUCAGCUUCGGCCAGCGCCUCCGCCACCUCUAAACUAGCUUACCCUCAUGGCUCCUCUUGCUCUUCCUCCUCCUUCACCACUUUUUCCUCUUUCCUGGCAAAAUCCGCUAAGCUAACUCCCAAAACCCUGCACUACUCUUCCUUCAUUUCCCCCUUCCUC
rnacentral:misc_RNA from 1 species